AGAGUUUGAUCAUGGCUCAGGACGAACGCUGGCGGCGUGCUUAACACAUGCAAGUCGAACGAUGAAGCCCUUCGGGGUGGAUUAGUGGCGAACGGGUGAGUAACACGUGGGUAACCUGCCCUUGGCUUUGGGAUAAGCCCUGGAAACGGGGUCUAAUACCGGAUAUGACUGACUCUCGCAUGGGGGUUGGUGGAAAGUUCCGGCGGCCAGGGAUGGGCCCGCGGCCUAUCAGCUUGUUGGUGGGGUGAUGGCCUACCGAGGCGACGACGGGUAGCCGGCCUGAGAGGGCGACCGGCCACACUGGGACUGAGACACGGCCCAGACUCCUACGGGAGGCAGCAGUGGGGAAUAUUGCACAAUGGGCGAAAGCCUGAUGCAGCGACGCCGCGUGAGGGAUGACGGCCUUCGGGUUGUAAACCUCUUUCGACAGGGACGAAGCGUAAGUGACGGUACCUGUAGAAGAAGCACCGGCUAACUACGUGCCAGCAGCCGCGGUAAUACGUAGGGUGCGAGCGUUGUCCGGAAUUAUUGGGCGUAAAGAGCUCGUAGGCGGUUUGUCGCGUCGACUGUGAAAACUGGGGGCUUAACUCUCAGCUUGCAGUCGAUACGGGCAGACUUGAGUUCGGUAGGGGAGACUGGAAUUCCUGGUGUAGCGGUGAAAUGCGCAGAUAUCAGGAGGAACACCGGUGGCGAAGGCGGGUCUCUGGGCCGAUACUGACGCUGAGGAGCGAAAGCGUGGGGAGCGAACAGGAUUAGAUACCCUAGUAGUCC
rnacentral:rRNA from 1 species